rnacentral:lncRNA from 1 species
CAUGGGCCAGUGGCUGAGUCCCGGCUCCACGAGGAGAUGUUGGGAGAAGGCAGCACACAUUGAGGAGAAGCAAGGAGCACCACUCCUGAUGGUCCCCUCCAGAGCCCCAGGAAACUCUUGUUAGCAAUCUUAGAUUAAAUUCAGAGUUUCUGGAUCACGACAGGAAGCUGUGUCCAGCACGAAGGUGUCCUGUGAACAGGCUCAAUCACAAGCUCUGCAGAGACGGGAAGUGACAGAGGCCCCAGAAAGCCAGUUCCCGACAACGCCAAUACUGCACGUUUAUCAGCUGCGGCAAGAGCCGGCCAGAGGCGGUGGCAGCACCUCAAUGCCCUUGCCUCGUCUUCAAGAUUCUUCUGUUUGAUGUUGCGUCCUCACUGUUCCUCUGCUGAGGAGCUGUAGUGUGGCUCACAACUACGCGAUGACUCUCCAGAUUCAAAGACCACAUCUCACCCUCUCUAAAGCCCCAGGGGCCCAGCGCAGUGCCGAGUGCAGAAGGAUUGAUGAGCAUUUGCUGAGCCGGGUGCUAAUCCCAUGGGCAUUGUUUCCUCUGCCCUCAGUCUCCAGCCUGCAGACGCCUGAAUGGAUUCUGGAGAGGUGUGCGUUGGACUCUGAAGGUCCUCUGAGCCCAUCCAGGAUAAAGAUGCUCUCUCCCAGGCGUCUGCUCAGCCGCCGGCUAUCGGCAGGACAUUGCGCACCAGGUAUCUUCAAGCUGCUUCUGGCUGGAUUUAGGGCAUGAUGGAAACAUCAAAACAACUGUAGUUCUGCCACGGGGUCCCACAUCUGCUUAUCCUGGGACAGCCACGCAGUCCCCACCCAGGAAGCGGCAGCAGGUUUCAGCACCCUGGAGAGGGCCAGGCCCCUGUGGCUGGUCAAGCUCCUCAGUGUUAAGGGAGCAGCUCAGGAAGGCCCCGCCCAGGACGAUGAGGGGACCAGGAAUGAAGUCAGCAGGGAUGAGACAUGUGAGGACCAGUGAGAAGUACUCAUCUUUUACAAUGAAUGUCAACAGACUCUUACAAAUGAAUUCACCCCAGACUACACUGUCAGCUCCUGGGGACAGGUUUAAAUCGC